rnacentral:rRNA from 1 species
GACGAACGCUGGCGGCGUGCUUAACACAUGCAAGUCGAACGGAAAGGCCUCUUUCGGGGGGUACUCGAGUGGCGAACGGGUGAGUAACACGUGAGUAACCUGCCCUUGACUUUGGGAUAACUUCAGGAAACUGGGGCUAAUACCGGAUAGGAGCUCCUGCUGCAUGGUGGGGGUUGGAAAGUUUCGGCGGUUGGGGGUGGACUCGCGGCGUAUCAGCUUGUUGGUGGGGUAGUGGCUUACCAAGGCGUUGACGGGUAGCCGGCCUGAGAGGGUGACCGGCCACAUUGGGACUGAGAUACGGCCCAGACUCCGACGGGAGGCAGCAGUGGGGAAUAUUGCACAAUGGGUGGAAGCCUGAUGCAGCAACGCCGUGUGCGGGAUGACGGCCUUCGGGUUGUAAACCGCUUUCGCUCAUGACGAAGCUUUGUGUGACGGUAGUGGGUAAAGAAGCACCGGCUAACUACGUG